AUGCGGAGACCUCUUGCAUUUCUGUUGCGUAGCUGGAGGGAUUUACGGGGACUUAAUUCCUUAAAACUGUCCUCUCGUCCACAUGACGCUCAAAUGCAAGUGCUCAAGCUGAUCUAGCCGAAUGUAUCAAGAGAUGAGUGCAUCUCAUUGCCAUGGGGCUAGAUUAGGGCCUUUUAUAAGACAUGUAGAAAACACGUGAAACCAGUGCGGAGUAACGCAACGAGGAGGUGAAUUAGCUAGCUUCAAAAAUGAUAAAAACAACAUGUUGCCAAUAUCCACUUCGAGACAUGUCUUUCGGGAUUCUUCUGUGUGGGAGGAAAGCCGACUGUAUCAUAACAGCUUUAAGUCUAUACAUUUGAAGAUAUCCUGAGAAGAGGAGAAGCUGUCAAGCGCCUGGGUGACUCGACAUGCACGGACAAAUGAACAACGAUGCAGUAAAAAAAACUUUUAACACUUCAAGACAGGAUGGAAAGCUUCAGUUGUGCACCUGCUUUUGUGGAAUGCCCUGGAGACGAUGACAGCCACCAUUAUCCUGGUGAUUUAGCUGUUAAUAUUUCCCCACAUCCACCUGCCACGUACUGUUAGGAAAAUCUAUAAACAAUGUCUUUCACUUCAAGCGCUUUCGGAGUUCUUUUGUGUCCCAAAAUCAAUGAAAAAUGAAUCUUUCAACGCAAAUCGCCGUUUCUUCUCUGAACUCAUUCGCCUGAUGAAAUUACAUGGAGGGGAGAAAACUGCGGGUCGCUACAUGUAAAGGAUGAACCAAAAUGAUAAGCACUGCGAAAACCUCUAAAUAAACAACAUACAAAAACA